AUUGAACGCUGGCGGCAGGCCUAACACAUGCAAGUCGAAUGGUAACAGGAAACAGCUUGCUGUUUCGCUGACGAGUUUCGGACUGUUGAGUUAUGUCUGGGAAACUGCCUGAUUGAUUGGGAUAACUACUGUAAACGUUAGCUAAUACCGCAUAACGUCGCAAUACCAAAGUGUGUGACCUUCAGGCCUCUUGCCAUCACAUGUGCCCAUAUGGGAUUAGCUAGUAGGUGGGGUAACUGCUCACCUAGGCGACGAUCCCUAGCUGGUCUGAGAGGAUGACCAGCAACACUGGAAGUGAGACACGGUCCAGAGUCCUACGGGAGGCAGCAGUGGGGAAUAUUGCACAAUGGGGGAAAGCAUGAUGCAGAAAUGCCGCGUGUAUGAAGAAGGACUUAGGGUUGUAAAGUACUUUCAGCGGGGAGGAAGGGAGUAAAGUUAAUACCUUGGCUAAUUGACGUUACCAGCAGAAGAAGCAACGGAUAACUCCGUG
rnacentral:rRNA from 1 species